rnacentral:rRNA from 1 species
UACGAAGGGGGCUAGCGUUGCUCGGAAUUACUGGGCGUAAAGCGCACGUAGGCGGAUUGUUAAGUCAGGGGUGAAAUCCCGGGGCUCAACCCCGGAACUGCCUUUGAUACUGGCAUUCUCGAGUCCGGAAGAGGUGAGUGGAAUUCCGAGUGUAGAGGUGAAAUUCGUAGAUAUUCGGAGGAACACCAGUGGCGAAGGCGGCUCACUGGUCCGGAACUGACGCUGAGAUGCGAAAGCGUGGGGAGCAAACAGG